rnacentral:piRNA from 1 species
UACCCGUGGUUUCUGCCAAGGAUUAGGGUU